GAUGAAGAACGCAGCGAAAUGCGAUACGUAAUGUGAAUUGCAGAAUUCAGUGAAUCAUCGAAUCUUUGAACGCAUAUUGCGCUCUCUGGUAUUCCGGAGAGCAGGCUUGUUUGAGUAUCAGUAAACACCUCAACUUCCAUAUCUUUUUUGAAAUGGGAGUUGGACUUGAGUGAUCCCAACGCUUUUCCUCACCGAAAAGUGGCGGGUUACUUGAAAUGCAGGUGCAGCUGGACUUUUCUCUGAGCUAUAAGCAUAUCUAUUUAGUCUGCCUAAAAAACAGAUUAUUACCUUUGCUGCAGCUAACAUAAAGGAGAUUAGUUCUUGUGCUGACUGAUGCAGGAUUCACAAAGACGGCUUCGGCCGACUUUGUAAACUCGAUCUCAAAUCAAGUAAGACUACCCGCUGAACUUAAGCAUAUCAAUAAGCGGAGGA
rnacentral:misc_RNA from 1 species